UACGUAGGGUGCAAGCGUUAAUCGGAAUUACUGGGCGUAAAGCGUGCGUAGACGGUUACAUAAGUCAGAUGUGAAAGCCCCGGGCUCAACCUGGGAAUUGCAUUUGAGACUGCGUAGCUAGGGUGCGGAAGAGGGAAGCGGAAUUUCCGGUGUAGCGGUGAAAUGCGUAGAUAUCGGAAGGAACACCAGUGGCGAAAGCGGCUUCCUGGUCCAGCACCGACGUUCAGGCACGAAAGCGUGGGGAGCAAACAGG
rnacentral:rRNA from 1 species